GACGAACGCUGGCGGCGUGCUUAACACAUGCAAGUCGAACGAAAAGGCCCUGAUUUUGUGGCGUGCUCGAGAGGCGCACGUGUGAGUAACACGAGAGUAGCCUGCACUUGGCUAUCGGAUAACUUCAGGAAACUGGGGAUACUACCGGAUAGGAGCUCCUGCUGCAUUGAGGGAGUUAGAAAGUUUCGGCGGUUGGGGAUGGACUCGCGGCUAAUCAGCUUGUUGGUGGGGUAGUGGCUUACCAAGGCAUUGACGGGUAGCCGGCCCGAGCGGGUGACCGGCCACAUUGGGACUGAGAUAAGGCCCAGACCCAUACGGGAGGCAGCGGUGGAGAAUAUUGCACUACGGGCGGAAGCCUGAUGCAACAACGCCGCGCGCGGGAUGACGGCCAUCGGGUUGUAACCUGCUGUCGCCUGUUACGAAGAGAGAGUGACGGUACUGGGUAAAGAAGCACCGGCUAACUACGUG
rnacentral:rRNA from 1 species